GGCGCACGGUGUGGGACUGGCAAGCAGCUCCACCUGAAGCCCCCGUGCAGAAUCCACUGCGUGAAGCCAGCUGGGCUCCUGACUGGUGGGGACUUGGAGAAACUUUUUGUCUAGCUAAGGGAUUGUAAAUACACCAAUCGGCACUCUGUACUAGCUCAAGAUUUGUAAACACACCAAUCAGCACCCUGUGUCUAGCUCAGGGUUUGUGAAUGCACCAAUCAACACUCUGUAUCUAGCUAAUCUGGUGGGGACGUGGAGAACCUUUGUGUCUAGCUCAGGGAUUGUAAACGCACCAUUCAGCACCCUGUCAAAACAGACCACUCCUCUCUCUGUAAAAUGGACCAAUCAGCAGGAUGUGGGUGGGGCCAGAUAAUAGAAUAAAAGCAGGCUGCCCCAGCUGGCAGUGGCAAUCCUCUCCGGUCCCCUUCCGGGCUGUGGGAGCUUUGUUCUUUUGCUCUUUGCAAUAAAUCUUGCUGCUGCUCGCUCUUUGGGUCCACAUUGCCUUUGUGAGCUGUAACACUCACGGCGAAGGUCUGCAGCUUCACUCCUAAAGCCAGAGAGACCACAAACCCACCGGGAGGAACGAACAACUCCAGACGCGCGGCCUUAAGAGCUGUAACACUCACCGCGAAAGUCUGCAGCUUCACUCCUAAAGCCAGCGAGACCACGAACCCACCAGGAGGAACGAACAAUUCCAGAUGCGCCGCCUUAGGAGCUGUAACACUCACCGCGAAGAUCUGCAGCUUCACUCCUGAGCCGGCGAGACCACGAACCCCACCAGAAGGAAGAAACUCCGGACACGCCGCCUUUAAGAACUAUAACACUCACGGCGAGGGUCCACGGCUUCAUUCUUGAAGUCAGUGAAACCAAGAACCCACCAAUUCCGGACACAGCAGGAUCCCACCCACAGAACCGCCAGGUGCACAGCUGCAUAUCCUCAGGGGAAAACUCCCCUCCCCUGCCACCUUACUGAUAGGCUUCACUUCCCAGAGAACUUUCCCAAUCCUGUGCAAUGCCUGAGUGGUACAUUGUAUUCUAUGAGAAUGGCGCCCCCGCCUCCAGAGUUGUGCAACAAGACUUCCAUGAAUCAAAGCCCAUCGCUGGCUGCCUCCUCUAGCCCUGCAUAGCCCAGGUACAUCUGAAAGGAGUGAGAAGUGUUUUGAGGGCUCUCCCUGUCUCUUCCUGCACCUCUCUCUUGUGAUCCCAGAAGCUACAACCUCAGCCCAGAUUAGCAGGCUGAGGGGUCAGGAGGCUGUCACUGGAGCUGUUGAGCUCAUGAACACGCCGAAGUUGCUGCGCUCCAGAAAUGUGGAAGUUGGAAUGAAGAGCCACCACUGCUGCCACCAACAUGAAGCUUGACCAAGCAAGCCAAGAAAAGAUGGCCAAGAGCCUCUGCCUUCCUUCUGCCUUCUGCAACGCAAUGGUGAGCUGCACAUCCACAACUUGAAGGGAGUCUGGGAAAUGCAGAGUUAAACUUUCUAGCCUCUCUAAGCUUUCAACUGUUACAGAAAGGCAACCCAGGAGGAGACUGGAAUAAAUGCUGAGUGCCAAUUUCCAACACAAGUAGUCAUUAUAAUUGGGGUGAGUGUUAUCUUGCCCUGGCUCAGGGGUAAUCUUGUGUUGGUUCUGUUCAUCCCCACCAAAAUCAAGUGCAGGGCUUAUUCUCCCUUCCCUAACCAUCAGGUCACUAGGGGUCCAGGGCCUCACCUUCCUUCUCAAGAGUUAAUGAGCAUUCCAGGAUGUUGUAAGGAAGGACUGUCCAUAUGGAAUAGGGAGGACACAAACCCAACAUUUUGCUCUGACUGUUAGCCAAUAAACAAUGUCCUGGUUGUUGCUUGCUGUCAGGCAUAAGUCCUCACUAGACACCUACCAGAAGGCAACUAACCCAAUGGUCUGGCAUAGGCAAAGGGGCUUACUAAAAUGUAGGCUGGCACUCACUUCUAGCCCUCUCCUCCUGUCCCCACCACCUCUCUGUCUUAUCACUUCCCUUCUAUCUCCCCUCCUCCCUCAGCCUAGAGAAUAUUUUUCUAACUUAGGUAAGGAGCUUUGCUGUUAUUCCUGAUGUUUUCUCCUAAAUCUUUUACCAGUUUGUUCUCUCCAGUUCACUAAGGAUCUAGACCAGUGGUUUUCAAUCUGCAGCCUACAUCUGAGUCACCUGGAGGGCCUGUUAAAACACAGAACGUGGAGCCCAACCCCCAGAGGUGCUGAUUCAGUAGGUCUGGGGUAGGGCCCAAGAAUUUCCCUUUCUAACGAGUAUCCAGGUGAUGCUGAUGUGGUCUGGAGACCAUACUUUGAGAACCACCGGCCCAGGCUUUUGAAACUGAAAAACUUUGCUUUCUGCUUGUAAGACCCAUCUCUUAGAUAGGAGCAAAGAAUGGUUUGUCUGUUCAAAUGGGGAGAUGGAAUAGAAGAAAAAAAAUCUAGAAGAAAAAAAUCAAAAUCAAUGUUUUAAAAAUAGUAUUCUAGCAUUCAGUAGUAAUAAUAUAACCCCUUUGCUAUGCCUUUAAUAUCUGGAAGAGAGAAGCUUGAGUACUUGCAAAAUCUUGCCCCUGGAUGGUGCAAAAUAAUGUCUCAUUUUCCUCUUGAGUCUUUUGUCUUUGCCAAAUCUAUCUUAGAGGACAAAAAGGAGCAAGUCCUUCCUCCCUGCUUUCCUCUGUCUCCUCUUCUCUUUCCUCAUGAUGCUUCGGUCUCUUCUGUUAUCCCUUGGCUCACCCCUCAGUCUUGAUUUUUCUCACUCUGUGUUCCUAGCUGUCAGUCACGUGGACCUAAUCCAGUGUUCUCCCAAGUAGAGGGGCUUAAGCUACUACUUUCAGGCUGUGCUGAGUGAUAUACAUACAAUGCCUCAUUGACAAUCCUGAAGGAUGGUAUUUUGCUUCUCAUUUCACAGAUGAGGAAACAGAUGCUCAGAGAGAUCACACUGCUAGGAAUUGGUGAAUCCAGAAUUUGAGUCCAGUUUGUUUAGCUCCCAGUCCCAGGUCCUUCCCACAUGUUCAUGAUCUUGUGUCCUUUUGCAUCCCCAGCCCACAGGACAAAAACCUUGUCAUGCUUGGGGUCAGGUUCUGGCCCCAGCUGAGGGCUGAGGGGAGUGGGUGGACACAGGGCAGGGAGCUGGAAGAACACCUGAGAGACAGCAUGUAAGUGAGACAUGGCUUUAUUCAGCAGCCCCUUUACAGGGUCAGUGUUACAUUUAUACACUACACAGACAAUAGUGGCUGAGAGCCAGGUGGUGAGCUUCUCUAUGUUAUGUCUACAUGGCUAUGAUUGUAUAAGACACGAGACUGCACUUGCGCCCCAAUACUGCUGAGUCAUUUAGGCUGUUUACCUUGACCUAUGCCUGCUGCUCUAUGCCUGCUUGGCUGCAGCACAGCCAUGUUCCUUACAGACCUUCAGAUGGAGAUUUGCAAUGAGUGCACUAAAAGAGACUCCAUGUCAGAUGCCAAUCUCUGGGCCAAAUCUUUGUGGGAUACUUUACUCAUAGUAGGAACUGCAGGACCACUACUUCCACUGGAGCAUUUGUGUGUGUGUGUGUGUGUUUGUGUGUGUGUGUGUGCGUGUGUGUGUUUUCAUGUGUGGGACAUUCUUUUUGAAAAUGAACAUGGUGGGAAAUUAUGGUCUCACCCUCAAAAUCCAACCAAAUUCUCAGCAAACCCCAGAUUGUGUAGGUUGUAGGAAAGAAGCAUGUUAGUUUUGGCAGAAAUACUCUUAGUCUGGCAGUAAAUUUCUUAAAACAUAAAAAUGCUUUUUAACAUCCUGUUUUUGUCCUCCUUUUGUUGAUUUUUGAGCAUUUCUUCCCAAGCAAGGAAUUAUGUAGCAAGAUUUGAAAAUUACCAAACUUUAUUUUGUUAGUUUUCUUUGGUUCCUUUUCUAUGUUUCUGUAUACGUUAUCUGCUUUAAACUUUAAACUCAAGGAUUAAAGUGACUCUAAAGCACUUCGGAGUGAUCCAGGAACCACAUGGGGCUGGAUAGCAGUUUCCUAGAGCAAAAUGACAAGCCCUGAAAAGCUUACUGUAGGCCAUCGAGUUCAUACAUGGCCCCCUGUCAGUGGGUAGAUAAGCUGUGAACCUAGGAAUAUGGAUGCCUGUGAUAACUGGUCCUCACUCUUCUUCCUAGACAAAGUUUCAGAUCUCUGUGUCUUUCUGGGCAUCUUCGAAAACUUCCAUUCCCCAUUUGCCAUGUAAGCCAGACUCAUGUAGAAGUUAGGAUUUGUAGACCCUGGAGGUAAACAGCUUCCUCCAGAACCUUGUUCUGCCUCUUAGUAGCUGUGUAAUCUUGGGCAAGUUACUUAACCUCUCUAGGGCUCAGUUUCCUUACCUGUAAAAUGGAAAUAAAGCACAUUCUUCCAGGCCAGGCAUGGUGGCUCAUGCCUGUAAUCCCAGUGCUUUGGGAGGCCGAGAAGGGCAGAUCAUGAGCUCAGGAGUUCAAAACCAGCCUGGCCAACAUGGUGAAACCUCGUCUCUAAAAAAAAGCAAAAAUUAGCUGGGUGCAGUGGUGCACACCUGUAGUCCCAGCUAUUCAGGAGGCUGAGGCAUGAGAAUUGCUUGAACCUGCUUGCAGUGAGCCGAGAUCCCGCCACUGCACUCCAGCCUGGGCGACAGAGUGAGACUCCAUCUCAAAAAAAAAAAAAAAAAAAAAGCACAUACAUUCUUCCUAGGGUUGUAGUGUGGCUCAAAUAGAUGCUUACUUAAAGCAGUCUCUGGUGUAUAACAAAUGCUCAAUUAAAGUUGCUAUUCUUGGCUGGGCACGGUGGCUCAUGCCUGUAAUCCCAGCACUUUGGGAGGCCGAGGUGGGUGGAUCACCUUAAGUCAGGAGUUCAAGACCAGCCUGGCCAACAUGGUGAAACCCUAUCUCUACUAAAAACACACAAAAAAAUUAGCCAGGCAUGGUGUUGCA
rnacentral:lncRNA from 1 species